AUUGAACGCUGGCGGCAUGCCUAACACAUGCAAGUCGAGCGAGCAGCGGACGGGUGAGUCAUGUAUGGGGACUGCCUGAUAGAGGGGGAUAACUACUGGAAACGGUAGCUAAUACCGCAUAAUAUCCGAUAGCUCAUGUGGGAUUAGCUAGUUGGUGAUGGAAUGGCUCACGAAGGCGACGAUCCCUAGCUGGUCUGAGAGGAGGAGAGGCCACACUGGGACGGAGACACGGCCCAGACUCCUACGGAGGCAGCAGUGGGGAAUAUUGCACAAGGGGCGCAAGCCUGAUGCAGCAAGGCCGGGUGUAUGAAGAAGGCCUUAGGGUUGUAAAGUACUUUCAGUCGGGAGGCGUUACCGACAGAAGAAGCACCGGCUAACUCCGUGCCAGCAGCCGCGGUAAUAC
rnacentral:rRNA from 1 species